UACAGAGGUGGCUAGCGUUGUUCGGAAUUACUGGGCGUAAAGGGCGCGUAGGCGGCUUGGUCAGUCCCGUGUGAAAUCCCUCGGCUCAACUGAGGAACUGCACGGGAAACUGCCUGGCUUGAGUUCGGGAGAGGGAAGCGGAAUUCCGGGUGUAGCGGUGAAAUGCGUAGAUGAUCUGGAGGAACACCGGUGGCGAAGGCGGCGAUCCGUGGACCGGCAUUGACGCUGAGGAGCGGAAAGCCGGGGGAGCAAACGGGG
rnacentral:rRNA from 1 species